UCCCUGGUGGCUCAGGCGGUAAAGCGUCUGCCUGCAAUGCAGGAGACCUGGGUUCGAUUCCUGGGUUGGGAA
rnacentral:tRNA from 1 species